CAUGCCGUAAACGAUGAGUGCUAAGUGUUAGGGGGUUUCCGCCCCUUAGUGCUGCAGCUAACGCAUUAAGCACUCCGCCUGGGGAGUACGACCGCAAGGUUGAAACUCAAAGGAAUUGACGGGGGCCCGCACAAGCAGUGGAGUAUGUGGUUUAAUUCGAAGCAACGCGAAGAACCUUACCAGGUCUUGACAUCCCGAUGACCGCUCUAGAGAUAGAGUUUUCCCUUCGGGGACAUUGGUGACAGGUGG
rnacentral:rRNA from 1 species